GUGCAUUGUAGUUGCAUUGCACUUGUUAUUUAUUAUGUGCAAUAUUUCUACAAAGCAAAUC
rnacentral:pre_miRNA from 1 species